AGCGUCUCAAGGUCAUGUGUUUGAAUCCUCAGGGAAUGCAUCCACUAAUAAAACCAGAUCAUUUCUAUCUUAGGCUACAGAUAUUCAUGUUUAAAUGCUUUCUGAUUUGUGAGUACAGGGAUGUUUUGUGGUGUUUUGCAGCCUCAUCUGUGACCACACGCGUGUUGAUUGGCCAUGAAGACCCCAUGCAAGCUGAACCCAGAGAAGCGGCAUCCCCUCCACUGUGUAGACGCACAGCGAGGGCCAGGAUGUCACACAGGGAAACUCAACGCUGGAAACUUUCAGAACGACACACUUGUGUUCAAGCAGCAUGACAGUAAAAAAGCGGAGCGAGUCAGAGAGGUAAAUGCUGACGGCUGGAGACUUCUCGUCUCUCUGCUUUAACUGGCUAAGGUCAGUAAUUUCUCUCUCACAGAUUUCUGUCUAUAUGAGAAACAGUCUGUAGAAGAAUAUUCGAACGACUCCCACUUAUUUUGCUGCAGGUCUUUUUUGUUGGUAUAAAAAUAUGCAUGAGAGGGAGAGAAAGAGAAAUGCUGACCAUUUUUCCCGGCCUCUCCAGUCGUCAAAAAACAGACGUGCGGAGGAACCCGACAGCCAUGAAAUAAAUUAAUGCAAUGUGCCAAUCAAAACAGAUGGAGAGUUUCAGACAAUUACAGAGUUCCUUCUUAAACUUGUAAGAAAAAAACUGCACAACUUUCUUAAUGUCUUCAUUUUUUUCUUUCAGUACAUGAUUGCAUGCAUUCAUAGUAUUUCAAUAUCUUUUUUUACCUGCAUGGCUGUUGAAUUUUGUGAAAAUCGCUAAACCAUUUUUGCAUUAAUGGAAAUGUCCAUCAAUUUAUACUUUAGUUCUUGCUGCGUGAUUGCAGGUAACUAAUUACAUGCAAUUUAAAAUGAUGUGGAUGUGACAAAAUAUCACUUCAAUAACACUAAUAUAUGCUUUAGACAUAAAUUGCUUGAUUAAAUAUGCUCAUUUCUAACUUCAUACUUGUAUUUUUGACCAUCAAACCUCACUGGAUAAGCAAGUUUGUCAUCUUAAACCCAAGCACACAGUAUUUUAAACACAAGUUUUAAUGCUUUAUGACCAAAUAACAUUUGAGUAUUUCUGAUGUUUCUUGAAAUUGAAUAUGUAAUUUGUGUUAGUUAGCUUUCAUUAUAUUCUUGAGUAUUAUUCAUGCGAAUUUGUAUUUAAGUUAAGUAGUAUUGGACCUAAAUACACUGAGAGAGAGAAAAAAAUCAUUUUCAUUUCAAAUUCAUCUUAAUUUUAUUUUUAUUUAUUUUUUAAUUUAACAUUUUUUAUUGGUUUUCAUUUUGCAUUUCUUUUAUUUCAUUAUUUGUUUUUGUUUUUUAAGUUGUAA
ensembl:lncRNA